rnacentral:rRNA from 1 species
CCAGACUCCUACGGGAGGCAGCAGUGGGGAAUAUUGCACAAUGGGGGAAACCCUGAUGCAGCAACGCCGCGUGGGUGAAGGAGCGUUUCGGCGCGUAAAGCCCUGUCAGCGGGGAAGAAGAAAGACGGUACCCGACCAAGAAGCCCCGGCUAACUACGUGCCAGCAGCCGCGGUAAUACGUAGGGGGCAAGCGUUAUCCGGAAUUACUGGGUGUAAAGGGAGCGUAGACGGCAAUGCAAGUCCGGAGUGGAAUGCGGCAGCUCAACUGCCGAACUGCUCUGGAAACUGUAUGGCUUGAGUGCAGGAGGGGUAAGCGGAAUUCCUGGUGUAGCGGUGAAAUGCGUAGAUAUCAGGAGGAACACCGGUGGCGAAGGCGGCUUACUGGACUGUAACUGACGUUGAGGCUCGGAAGCGUGGGGAGCAAACAGGAUUAGAUGCCCGAGUACA